rnacentral:rRNA from 1 species
GAGUUUGAUCAUGGCUCAGAUUGAACGCUGGCGGCAGGCUUAACACAUGCAAGUCGAACGGUAACAGGGAGAAAGCUUGCUUUCUUUGCUGACGAGUGGCGGACGGGUGAGUAAUGCUUGGGAAUCUGGCUUAUGGAGGGGGAUAACGACGGGAAACUGUCGCUAAUACCGCGUAAUAUCUUCGGAUUAAAGGGUGGGACUUUCGGGCCACCUGCCAUAAGAUGAGCCCAAGUGGGAUUAGGUAGUUGGUGGGGUAAAGGCCUACCAAGCCGACGAUCUCUAGCUGGUCUGAGAGGAUGACCAGCCACACUGGAACUGAGACACGGUCCAGACUCCUACGGGAGGCAGCAGUGGGGAAUAUUGGUCAAUGGCCGAGAGGCUGAACCAGCCAAAGUCGCGUGAAGGAAGAAGGAUCUAUGGUUUGUAAACUUCUUUUAUACGGG